rnacentral:snRNA from 1 species
AUACUUAACUGGACGUGGUCAAUGGGUGCUCAAGAAUGCUCAUGGCCUAGGUUGGUGGUCUCCAUUGCACUUAGGAGAUGUACCUGCCUAAGGUCUGCCCAAGUGGCAGAUCCUACGUCAUAAUUUGUGGCAACGGGAGCCUGCUUUCAUGCAGCCCCUGU